rnacentral:rRNA from 1 species
GCUCAGCCGUCAACAAAAACAGUUACCAUACAAGACUGUUCGCCAGAGAACUACAAGAAAACACUCGAAACUCCAAGGACUUGGCGGUGCUCCACAUCAACCUAGAGGAGCCUGUCCUAUAAUCGAUACCCCCCGAUCUACCCCACCGCCCUUUGAAACUCAGCCUAUAUACCGCCGUCGUCAGCUUACCCUGUGAAAGAAAUAAAGUAGGCAAAAUAGUUACCAACUAAAACGUCAGGUCAAGGUGUAGCUUAUAGGCCGGAAGAGAUGGGCUACACUCUCUCACCCAGAGAAUACGAACAGCACAAUGAAACCCUGCUUAAAGGUGGAUUUAGCAGUAAAAAAGACGAGAACAUCUAUUUUAAACCCGCCCUGGAGCGCGC